GAUGAACGCUGGCGGCGUGCCUAAUACAUGCAAGUCGAGCGAACGGACGAGAAGCUUGCUUCUCUGAUGUUAGCGGCGGACGGGUGAGUAACACGUGGAUAACCUACCUAUAAGACUGGGAUAACUUCGGGAAACCGGAGCUAAUACCGGAUAAUAUUUUGAACCGCAUGGUUCAAAAGUGAAAGACGGUCUUGCUGUCACUUAUAGAUGGAUCCGCGCUGCAUUAGCUAGUUGGUAAGGUAACGGCUUACCAAGGCAACGAUGCAUAGCCGACCUGAGAGGGUGAUCGGCCACACUGGAACUGAGACACGGUCCAGACUCCUACGGGAGGCAGCAGUAGGGAAUCUUCCGCAAUGGGCGAAAGCCUGACGGAGCAACGCCGCGUGAGUGAUGAAGGUCUUCGGAUCGUAAAACUCUGUUAUUAGGGAAGAACAUAUGUGUAAGUAUCUGUGCACAUCUUGACGGUACCUAAUCAGAAAGCCACGGCUAACUACGU
rnacentral:rRNA from 1 species